rnacentral:rRNA from 1 species
GAUGAACGCUAGCUACAGGCUUAACACAUGCAAGUCGAGGGGCAUCAGUUUGGUUUGCUUGCAAACCAAAGCUGGCGACCGGCGCACGGGUGAGUAACACGUAUCCAACCCGCCUCAUACUCGGGGAUAGCCUCUCGAAAGAAAGAUUAAUAUCCGAUAGCAUAUAUUUCCCGCAUGGGUUUUAUAUUAAAGAAAUUCGGUAUGAGAUGGGGAUGCGUUCCAUUAGUUUGUUGGGGGGGUAACGGCCCACCAAGACUACGAUGGAUAGGGGUUCUGAGAGGAAGGUCCCCCACAUUGGAACUGAGACACGGUCCAAACUCCUACGGGAGGCAGCAGUGAGGAAUAUUGGUCAAUGGACGCGAGUCUGAACCAGCCAAGUAGCGUGAAGGAUGACUGCCCUAUGGGUUGUAAACUUCUUUUAUAUGGGAAUAAAGUUGUCCACGUGUGGAUUUUUGUAUGUACCAUAUGAAUAAGGAUCGGCUAACUCCGUGCCAGCAGCCGCGGUAAUACGGAGGAUCCGAGCGUUAUCCGGAUUUAUUGGGUUUAAAGGGAGCGUAGGCGGAUUGUUAAGUCAGUUGUGAAAGUUUGCGGCUCAACCGUAAAAUUGCAGUUGAUACUGGCAGUCUUGAGUGCAGUAGAGGUGGGCGGAAUUCGUGGUGUAGCGGUGAAAUGCUUAGAUAUCACGAAGAACUCCGAUUGCGAAGGCAGCUCACUGGAGUGUAACUGACGCUGAUGCUCGAAAGUGUGGGUAUCAAACAGG